rnacentral:ncRNA from 2 species
UAUAAUCUUCAGGGCGGGGUGUGAUUCCCCACCGGCGGUAUAGCCCGCGAGCCAUAAUUGGUAUGAUUCGGUGAGAUUCCGAGGCCGACAGUAGAGUCUGGAUGAAAGAAGGUAAAA